GGUCGGGGAACCCCGUGCCGCCCGUCUGGCCACAAACCAUUCGAAGCGACCGUGGCAACCUCGUCCGUAAACCGAACCCCGGCGCGGAAUGUGCCAAGGAACUGAAACCAAAGAGCGUCGCCGGCCGCCUCGGACACGAUGUGCGUGCCGGCGUCGACGUCUUGUAUUUAUCCAAAACGACUCUCGGCAACGGAUAUCUCGGCUCUCGCAUCGAUGAAGAACGUAGCGAAAUGCGAUACUUGGUGUGAAUUGCAGAAUCCCGUGAAUCAUCGAGUCUUUGAACGCAAGUUGCGCCCGACGCCAUUCGGCCGAGGGCACGUCUGCCUGGGUGUCACGCACCGUUGCCCCCAAACGCCCCCGCCUCGCAAGGGGCGCGGGAUCUCGUUUGGUGGCGGAAGUUGGCCUCCCGUGGGCCUGUGCUCGCGGUUAGCCUAAAAAGGAGUCCUCGGCGACGAGCACCACGACAAUCGGUGGUUGAUUAGACCUCGGUCCCCGUCGUGCGUGUCUGGUCGCCACAAGGUGUGACUCGUCGACCCUAACGCGUCGUACCCACGUCGCUCCCAACGCGACCCCAGGUCAGGCGGGACUACCCGCUGAG
rnacentral:rRNA from 1 species